rnacentral:rRNA from 1 species
UACGUAGGGGGCGAGCGUUGUCCGAAGUUACUGGGCGUAAAGCGCGCGUAGGCGGCUCUUUAAGUCUGAGGUGAAAGGUUCAGCGCUCAACGUGAACAGUGCCUUGGAUACUGGGGGAGCUUGAGUGUGGGAGAGGGAAGUGGAAUUCCUGGUGUAGCGGUGAAAAUGCGUAGAUAUCAGGAGGAACACCGGUGGCGAAGGCGGCUUCCUUGGCCUAAACACUGACGCUGAGGCGCGAAAGCGUGGGGGAGCGAAACGGG